rnacentral:rRNA from 1 species
UACGUAGGGGGCAAGCGUUGUCCGGAAUCAUUGGGCGUAAAGAGCGUGUAGGCGGCCCGAUAAGUCCGCUGUGAAAGUCCAGGGCUCAACCCUGGGAUGCCGGUGGAUACUGUCGGGCUCGAGUCCGGAAGAGGAGUGUGGAAUUCCUGGUGUAGCGGUGAAAUGCGCAGAUAUCAGGAGGAACACCUAUGGCGAAGGCAGCACUCUGGGACGUGACUGACGCUGAGACGCGAAAGCGUGGGGAGCAAACAGG